CUGAACUCGAGUAGGGCCCAAGCAAGCCAGGAAGGAGGAGGCAGCCAGAGUGUUCUCUGCAGCAGAAGACCCCUUGCUGCCCUGCUUAACCCAGACCAGCAUUUGCCAGGUUCUGGAAUGCUCUCCCAGUGAAUGUCCACACUUUGACAUCGGUGGCUGCUUUGAAAAAACAACAACUGAAGACCUUUUUAUUUGUUCAAGCUUUUACCCCUUAGGGCCAGCCAGGUUUCUCAACUUUCUUGCUUAUGUUUAUCUUUUUUAUGUUUGGGUGUUUUUGUUUGUUUGUUUGUUUGUUUGUUUACUGUUUAACUGAUUUUAAGGUUUUAAAUGUGAUUUUAAUGAAAUGUUAUUGUCUUUUAGCUUUUGUAAACUGCCUUGGGAUGCCUUAUGAAAGGUGGUAUAAAAAUUGAACAAAAAAUUAAAACAAACAAACAAACAUUGCUUCAGACUUCCAUUCCGAGAACUAUGACUACAAACCACGACCACUACCCAGUUUAGUGCUUUGUCCAGGCCUUUCGGAUGAAACUUCAGUCCAAUUAAAAUAUUGUUAUUACAUCCUGCCCUAAAUGGCUUCCAGAUAUGUCAGUUAGCUGAUGAAGCAGAAAAACAAGGAUCACACACUUGUUGGGAUUUCCCUUUUUAUUAUUAUUUUCACAACACAUAGGCAACAUAAAUAAGCAAGGAAAGAGAAGAAAGAACCAUAAUCUGAUUAUAAAAAUGAUAGCCAAAAUAAAUCACAAUAGCCAUCUUAAGACCUUAGUAUUCUCUCUUGAGUUCUAGACUCUCAUAAAUUAAGAUUCUCAUGCAGUCUGGAAAUGAUCAGAAGUUUGUCUACCCACCUGGAUCCUUAUGAAAUUAAUCAUUUUAACCAUGUUGGUUAAAUCUCAUUAAGCCAUGAAUCUCCGUUUGUAAAGGAAUGUUCAACUUACUCUCUG